AGUGAACGCUGGCGGUAGGCCUAACACAUGCAAGUCGAACGGCAGCACAGUAAGAGCUUGCUCUUACGGGUGGCGAGUGGCGGACGGGUGAGGAAUACAUCGGAAUCUACUUUUUCGUGGGGGAUAACGUAGGGAAACUUACGCUAAUACCGCAUACGACCUACGGGUGAAAGCAGGGGAUCUUCGGACCUUGCGCGAUUGAAUGAGCCGAUGUCGGAUUAGCUAGUUGGCGGGGUAAAGGCCCACCAAGGCGACGAUCCGUAGCUGGUCUGAGAGGAUGAUCAGCCACACUGGAACUGAGACACGGUCCAGACUCCUACGGGAGGCAGCAUUGGGGAAUAUUGGACAAUGGGCGCGAGCCUGAUCCAGCCAUACCGCGUGGGUGAAGAAGGCCUUCGGGUUGUAAAGCCCUUUUGUUGGGAAAGAAAAGCAGCAGGUUAAGACCCCGCUGUUCUGACGGUACCCAAAGAAUAAGCACCGGCUAACUUCGU
rnacentral:rRNA from 1 species